rnacentral:lncRNA from 1 species
GCAAAAAAGCAAAGACCAAGACCACCAAAAAGCGCCCUCAGCGCGCAACGUCCAACGUGUUCGCCAUGUUUGACCAGUCCCAGAUCCAGGAGUUCAAAGAGGCCUUCAACAUGAUCGACCAGAACCGGGACGGCUUCAUUGACAAGGAGGACCUGCACGACAUGCUCGCGUCUCUGGGUAGCCUUUCUGUGCAUUCCCCCGUGAUAGUCCACCUCUGGGUCACUUGUUCUGUCAUAACCCCUGUUCCUCAGGACCUUUGAGAAGCUCUCAGGUGUGGGCGGUGCCCUGAUAAGGAGCAGGGCUCAGCUGCAGGGUGGGGACUUGGCAGGUAUUUUCCUGUUAGCUGAGUAGACUGUGUCUGCGUGCGUGCGUGCGUGAUGUUGGCUAGGUGCAAGAGAUCAGGAGUCGCAGUAACAAAUACAGCUAAUAAUAAUACACAGUGGGUGAUAGCCUGUGGUAGAGGACAGGUCAUGAACAAAGAGGUACCACUUGUAGCUAACAGUGGUUGUCCAGGAAGGAAGGAAGGGUGGCUUCUACUCAAAAUGGACCCCAGGAAGAAAAGAUUUCCAUAAUAAUGCUCGGAGAGACCGAGAGAUGGUAGUUUAAUUUUUUUUCUAAAAACUAUAAAUGGGGCUGAUAAGAUGGCUUGGCAGGUAAAGGUGCAUGCUGCCAAGUCUGGUGACAGGCUCAGCGUGAGAGGCCUGGUUCCUGGAAGUUGUUUUCAAUCCUCUACGAGUGCGCCACAGUACUGAUGGAUGCGAGCGUGCGAGCACGCACAGACACACUCACACACGCACACAUGUAUACACGCACAUGAGCGCAUGCACACACAGUCAAUCCAUUGAUCUCCAGGUUACAGUCAUUCCCCCUGCCCUCUGUCCCAAAUGCUGCAAGAGAGUCAGGUGAGAUCUACACAUGGGAAAGUGGCCUUUUUGCCAGUUUCCAUGUGUUCAGUGGCUCUGUCACUACAGGCGAGUUGAGCAGGUGUAGUGGGCGGAUUCUGGGUGGGCUGGCCAUUACCGUUUAGUCUAGUAUAAUUCUUGAGAUGUCGCCUUGGAUCCGAGAUGCUAUCAACACACCCUUUUUGAGUGUGUAGGCUCCACGUCUGAAGGGGCCUUUGAGACACUGACGUUAGCCGGUCCUUUUCACAAGAGGCUGUAUAGGGCAGAUGGCACCAGGCUUGGUGUCUGGAAUACUGGGUUUCAAUUCCAGGUUUCUCCAGACCCGUAGGUGAACCGAUUUUCAAAACCCUUCCCCAAGACCUUUCCUGUGCAGGGCUCUGUGGAUGUCCCCCCUUCGCUGUCAGGGAGUUCUCCAACUGCUGCUUGUUCUCAGCGGGAGCUGAAAUCAGGGUUUCUCUUUACUGUGAGCAGUCCAGUUCCCUCAGCACACAGAAGGGCGAGGCAGGAGAGUAGCACUUGGGCUGACAGUGCUUUCUGUAGUAUCCUUCAGAAUAAGCUGCCAGUCCCAAGCUGGCCUAACGGUUUUAACUCGGGUGCUCAUCUUAGAGUUUUGAAGCAUACCAAUCCAUAGGCAACUGUACCAUACUUGGAAACAUUUAUGCUGGUUUUUCUUUUAAUAGCUGGUAUUGAGACAACCCUUGAUGAACCAAUGUAGAAUCAAUAUUCAACAUGUGACGCCGUGGUGUUUCCUGCCGAAGUUUGAGAGUUCGGGGUGUUUGUUUCUUUCUUUGUUUUUUAAUGAAAAUCAAUGAAGAAGCUGGCAAGAUGGCUCAGUACAGAAAGGCGUUUGUCUUAUGCCCGAGGGCUCC